UACGGAGGGAGCUAGCGUUGUUCGGAAAUACUGGGCGUAAAGCGCACGUAGGCGGCGCAGCAAGUCAGGGGUGAAAUCCCGGGGCUCAACCCCGGAACUGCCCUUGAAACUGCAGUGCUAGAAUCCUGGAGAGGCGAGUGGAAUUCCGAGUGUAGAGGUGAAAUUCGUAGAUAUUCGGAAGAACACCAGUGGCGAAGGCGACUCGCUGGACAGGUAUUGACGCUGAGGUGCGAAAAGCGUGGGGAGCGAACAGG
rnacentral:rRNA from 1 species